AAUGGGUCAGCGACUUAUAUUCUGUAGCAAGGUUAACCGAAUAGGGGAGCCGGAGGGAAACCGAGUCUUAAUUGGGCGUUAAGUUGCAGGGUAUAGACCCGAAACCCGGUGAUCUAGCCAUGGGCAGGUUGAAGGUUGGGUAACACUAACUGGAGGACCGAACCGACUAAUGUUGAAAAAUUAGCGGAUGACCUGUGGCUGGGGGUGAAAGGCCAAUCAAACCGGGAGAUAGCUGGUUCUCCCCGAAAGCUAUUUAGGUAGCGCCUCGUGAAUUCAUCUCCGGGGGUAGAGCACUGUUUCGGCUAGGGGGCCAUCCCGGCUUACCAACCCGAUGCAAACUGCGAAUACCGGAGAAUGUUAUCACGGGAGACACACGGCGGGUGCUAACGUCCGUCGUGAAGAGGGAAACAACCCAGACCGCCAGCUAAGGUCCCAAAGUCAUGGUUAAGUGGGAAACGAUGUGGGAAGGCCCAGACAGCCAGGAUGUUGGCUUAGAAGCAGCCAUCAUUUAAAGAAAGCGUAAUAGCUCACUGGUCGAGUCGGCCUGCGCGGAAGAUGUAACGGGGCUAAACCAUGCACCGAAGCUGCGGCAGCGACGCUUAUGCGUUGUUGGGUAGGGGAGCGUUCUGUAAGCCUGUGAAGGUGGCCUGUGAGGGUUGCUGGAGGUAUCAGAAGUGCGAAUGCUGACAUAAGUAACGAUAAAGCGGGUGAAAAGCCCGCUCGCCGGAAGACCAAGGGUUCCUGUCCAACGUUAAUCGGGGCAGGGUGAGUCGACCCCUAAGGCGAGGCCGAAAGGCGUAGUCGAUGGGAAACGGGUUAAUAUUCCCGUACUUGGUGUUACUGCGAAGGGGGGACGGAGAAGGCU
rnacentral:rRNA from 1 species